rnacentral:lncRNA from 1 species
GAGCCAGGGCCCAGCAAUGUGACAGCCCGGCCAGGGCUUGGGAUGGUGAUCCAACAGCAUUCCCAAGGGAUUUUUCCUCCUCCUCCAGCCCUUUUCCUACAGAAGCCAUAGGAAGUGACCAAACCCACUCACCACUUACUGCCAGGAUGCCAGCGGGCUGAUUGCAGCCCCAUUCCCAUACAGACGGGGCGCAGGACACACCCCUGGAUAACCACUCUGACGACCAUCCGACACCAUUGACUCACCCACAUCACCCCACAUCCGCACCCCGCAGUGGGUGCUGUUAGUACCACGUGCUCCUCCCGGAGCCGCAGCCCCCAUCUGCCCACCCCAGAUUUCCAUCAGAGAUCCAUGCAGCCACUCCGGGACGGGAUUAGCACUUCCUGGAGUCCAACCCCACGGCACGAGGACGGAGCAGCGUUCCCACCACCGUGCGGCCGCAGCAGGGAUGCUCGGAGCGGUGUCCGGGUACGGUUAGGGUUAGUGGCACACACGGGGUCAUGCUGCAGGCACACACCGCUCCCACCUCCUGCCUCAGUCGCUCUCGGGCCGGUACAGGAGACGGUGGAACCGGAGGAGGAAUCGGAGGAGGAAUCGGA